rnacentral:lncRNA from 1 species
AAAAAUGUUGCAAUGCUUCUCAAAUAAUAUAUAGGGGAUAACUAAUAAGAGUGUUUUCUUAGUUUACAUUGUAAAAGAUCCACUAUGGUAAUUAACAAGUAAUUUUAAAUAGAUAGUAUUUGCACAUAUAAUUUUUUUUUUCUAGUUUAUGCUCUUUUGUAACAAGUUUUAGAAUUUGGAGACACAUAAAAAAAACCUUGUGUUAUAUACAUACUCUAUUGAUAGAUUAAACAGAGAGAUAUUUAUUAUACAUUUAUACUACAAAACUGGUUUUACAAAGUUGAACUGAUGAUAACUCUAAAACUUAAUGAGUGUUCAAAAAAAAAAAAAAAAAAACUCUAAAACUUAAUCUUCAUUCAACAGUUUAGCUAUUUUAUUUUCCUAAAUAAUUUGAAUGGGGUUAAAUACUUGAUAUACCGACUUACUGUAUAUGAUCCGUAAUCGUGUAGCAUAUGAGUGGGAAAGAAGAAGGUGUGUAAUCAUGCAUGUAUGAGUGGGGAAAAAGGUCUAGUUCACGACAAACAUAAGUAAGUUGAAGAUGAAAAUGGCCUGAUUGAACUAAAGUGUAAUUAAGUCAUUUAUAGCAUUACCAUCGGUAGAUUUAGGGCUGGGCAAAUAAACCGAAUCCAAAAAUCUGAACCGAACCCGAUCUGAUAAAAAUGAAUCCGAACCGAUCCGAACCCGACAUAAAUACCGAAUGGAUCCUGUUUUUUGGUAUUUUGGGUUAUGGGUAUUAUCCGAACCGAACCCGGACCUAAAUGGAUAUCCGAUAGAACCCGAAACAUUUAAAAUCACAAAAAGAACUUCUACCAAAUAGGGCUGGGCAAAUAAACCGAACCCGAAAAUCUGAAC